rnacentral:tRNA from 1 species
GUGCGAGUGACGAAAUAGGUAGACGUAUCGGACUUAAAAUCCGAAGCCCUUAGGGCGUGUGGGUUCGAUUCCCACUUCGCACACCA